AACGAACGCUGGCGGCAGGCCUAACACAUGCAAGUCGAGCGGACCCUUCGGGGUUAGCGGCGGACGGGUGAGUAACGCGUGGGAAUAUGCCCUUCUCUACGGAAUAGUCCUGGGAAACUGGGGGUAAUACCGUAUACGCCCUUUGGGGGAAAGAUUUAUCGGGGAAGGAUUAGCCCGCGUUGGAUUAGGUAGUUGGUGGGGUAAUGGCCUACCAAGCCGACGAUCCAUAGCUGGUUUGAGAGGAUGAUCAGCCACACUGGGACUGAGACACGGCCCAGACUCCUACGGGAGGCAGCAGUGGGGAAUCUUAGACAAUGGGGGCAACCCUGAUCUAGCCAUGCCGCGUGAGUGAUGAAGGCCUUAGGGUUGUAAAGCUCUUUUAGCUGGGAAGAUAAUGACGGUACCAGCAGAAGAAGCCCCGGCUAACUCCGUG
rnacentral:rRNA from 1 species